CCUGACUGCCAGGCAGAGCCCACUCUCCCGGGUGCCCACCUCUCUGUCUUCCUCCUCCUCCUCCCCCCUCCUCCUCUUCCUCCCUUCCUCUUCUUCCUCCCCCUUUCUUCCUCUUCCUCCCCUUCUCUUUUUUCUAUCUUUCUUAACAUAAGGCUUCAAGCUUCCACUCCGCUCUCUUUUAAGUUCUGGAGUGUUUAUGGCACAACACCACUGAGGAUACAACAUUUUUGAAGAAGGGAACGAAGUGGUCCUUCUGGUUGCUUCCUCAGAAGCAGUUGGAGAACAAACACAGUCUGAACAGCAGCAGUGCCCGCGGGGAUCUUGAAGACCAUGAAGGUUACCCCAACACCACAGCCACCAAUCCAACGCCGCGCAGACAUGAGGAGGAGGAGAAACAGGAGACCUAGAGAAGGAAAGCAGACCACAGUCAACCACUGUACAAGCCUCCCCCAGAAUACAUCGAUUGGGAAAACGGGGAAAUCUUCAGAUCAUGAGACGUAUUUCCCCGUUUCGGAGGACAGGGUCCCUGAACAGCCUAGAAGGGGGGAGUCCUAGUAAAGAGAAUUCCACACAGCAUGGUGAGUGAUUUCUAUGCAGCCCUGCACUCCUCAUGACCAUCACAACUGAAAAUUCUCCCUAUAUCUGUACAAGUCUCCCUCAGAACAUCAAUUGGAACAACUGGCAAAUCUUCAACAUAACAUCAGACGUGCAGAGGCAUCCUUUGGCAACUUUAAAUGGAACCCCCCUUCAAGGGACAGCUCCAAAAACAUCUUCUGGAGUGUUUACAACCCUAAUGUCCAAUACCACCUAGGGACAUAACAUCUCAUUGACAAGGGAAAGUUCUUCUGGGAGGUUUCCCAGGGUUCCAACAGUGCCACAACCAAAACUCUCCCUAUUCGCCACUGUACGUCUCCCUCGGAACAUCAUUUGGAAAACCUAGAAAAUGUUCUGCAGAACAGCAGAGGGUGCAGAGGCGUCCUUCAACACCGCUGGGAGAAUAUUCCUCCUGAAAAACAUCAUGAGUGAUUUUUGAACAGCUGAGAAGGGUGCCUUGCCAAUGAAAAAAUAAUCUGGCCCAUAGUAGUGGGAGACCCUCAAAAAUACAACAGGGACUCCUCCUUAAGGGAAGAAAGCAUUGUGUACAAGUGGAUCUGCAAGAACAUCAUUAUAUAUGCACAGCAUGGGUUCCUCCAUCGUAACCGAGUCCUCGACAGGUCCAGGUUCCAGAGCAACAUCGUACAACAUCGUAAAGAUACAGUAACUGAAAAAAUACAUCUACUGGAAAUAGAAGAAUCUUUCAGGAGGAAAGAUUCACCGGAUACUCCUUCGUACAUUCCCUGGAAACAGGAACGAAUGACACAUCAGGAUGUUCGGGAUGUUCCUACUUACAGAUUCACCAGAUACUCCUUCGAAUACAUUCCUGCAAACAGGAACGUUUGACACAUCAGGAUGUUCGGGAUGUUCCUACUUACAGAUUCACCAGAUACUCCUUCGAAUACAUUCCCUGUAAACAGGAACAGAUGACACAUCAGGAUGUUCGGGAUGUUCCUACCUACAAAUUCACCGGAUACUCCUUCGAAUACAUUCCCUGGAAACAGAAUGAUGACACAUCAGGAUGUUCGGGAUGUUCCUACCUACAGAUUCACCGGAUACUCCUUUGAAUACAUUCCCUGGAAACCAUCAGAAUGUUCGGGAUGUUCCUACAGUUUCACCGGAUACUCCUUCGAACACAUUCCCUGGAAACCAUCAGAAUGUUCGGGAUGUUCCUACCUACAGAUUCACCGGAUACUCCUUCGAACACAUUCCCUGGAAACCAUCAGAAUGUUCGGGAUGUUCCUACCUACAGUUUCACCGGAUACUCCUUCGAACACAUUCCCUGGAAACCAUCAGAAUGUUCGGGAUGUUCCUACCUACAGUUUCACCGGAUACUCCUUCGAACACAUUCCCUGGAAACCAUCAGAAUGUUCGGGAUGAUCCUACAGUUUCACCGGAUACUCCUUCGAAUACAUUCCCUGGAAACCAUCAGAAUGUUCGGGAUGUUCCUACCUACAAUUUCACCGGAUACUCCUUCGAACACAUUCCCUGGAAACAGGAACGAAUGAUACAUCAGGAUGUUCGGGAUGUUCCUACCUAGAUUCACAAAUACUCUUCAAAUACAUUCCCUGGAAACAGAAACAACACAGCAGGAUGUUCCUACCUACAGAUUCACUCCUUCGAUACUCCGAAUACAUUCCCUGGAAACAGGAACUUAUCAGUAUAGCAGCACACAGUGCCUUCCAUACAGAGAUCAUCAUCGGAGGAGAGUGCAUGGAAGACAUGGUUCCUGAGCAAGAACAAGUAGUAUACUGCCCCUCCUAAACUUCAUCUAACACUCUGAAGUGAAAGGAGCGCCCUCACUAUAGUGAAACAUCUGAGGAGCCCGGCAGGAAGUCCUUCCCAGGGAAAUACCAUUGGGCUACAGUAAUUUUGGUGGGAAUAUUUGGCUACAAACAGGGAGGUCCAGUUAUCAAACAGUUCCAAAAUACCACAGGAUGUACUGCCUGCCUACAUGGAUACUCCUUUAACCAUCUACUAGAAAUAGUGGGGGAUCCGGCGUCAGGGAGAGAAAAAAAUUAAAAAAAUAUAAAAAAAAAAAAAA